rnacentral:lncRNA from 1 species
UUAGGUUAAAUAGCCUUCCUUAAUCUGAUUAGACAUGGAGUCUAGUUUGGUUACUGAACUAAAAACUGCUUGAGUAGAUAUUGGUAUAUUUUGGACUAACCCCUGCAGGAAAACUUUCAAUAUCAACCUGGGAAGUCCUGAGAUAAACUCACAUUUGAGAUGAAGAAAGUGACACAUGAAGUUUAAACAAUUUGCACAAGAAAGACGUAGCUCAUAAGAGAUGAUUCAUGGAGGGUGCCACAAACACGAU